rnacentral:rRNA from 1 species
UUUAAAUUGAGAGUUUGAUCCUGGCUCAGGAUGAACGCUGGCGGCGUGCUUAACACAUGCAAGUCGAGCGAUGAAGUUUCCUUCGGGAAACGGAUUAGCGGCGGACGGGUGAGUAACACGUGGGUAACCUGCCUCAUAGAGUGGAAUAGCCUUCCGAAAGGAAGAUUAAUACCGCAUAACGUUGAAAGAUGGCAUCAUCAUUCAACCAAAGGAGUAAUCCGCUAUGAGAUGGACCCGCGGCGCAUUAGCUAGUUGGUGGGGUAACGGCCUACCAAGGCGACGAUGCGUAGCCGACCUGAGAGGGUGAUCGGCCACAUUGGGACUGAGACACGGCCCAGACUCCUACGGGAGGCAGCAGUGGGGAAUAUUGCACAAUGGGGGAAACCCUGAUGCAGCAACGCCGCGUGAGUGAUGAAGGUUUUCGGAUCGUAAAGCUCUGUCUUUGGGGAAGAUAAUGACGGUACCCAAGGAGGAAGCCACGGCUAACUA